GGAAUAUUGGACAAUGGAGGCAACUCUGAUCCAGCCAUGCCGCGUGAAGGAAUAAGGCCCUAUGGGUUGUAAACUUCUUUUAGACGGGACAAAACCCCUUUACGUGUAAAGGGUUGAUGGUACUGUCAGAAUAAGCAUCGGCUAACUUCGCGCCAGCAGCCGCGGUAAUACGAAGGAUGCAAGCGUUCUCCGGAAUUAUUGGGUUUAAAGGGUGCGUAGGCGGACUAAUAAGUCAGUGGUGAAAGCCUGCAGCUUAACUGCAGAUUUACCAUUGAUACUGUUGGAGUUGAGUACAGUUGAGAAAGACGAAAAGUGUCAUGUAACGGUUAAAUGCUUAGAUAUGACACAGAACACCGAUUGCGAAGAUAGCUUGCUAGGCUGUAACUGAGGCUGGGGCACGAAAGCGUGGGGAGCAAACA
rnacentral:rRNA from 1 species